GGGUGGUAACAGCUGAGCACUCAAAUGCACAACUGAAAAGAGCUGGGGAAUUAAAUGAAAAUGCCUCCUGAUGGUCUGUUGUGUUACAUGGCCUUGCCAUGGCCACGGAAGGGAAUCAGUGGCACCAGGUGCUGUGCAUACCAUGUGGUAGCUAGAGGCACCUAAAAUUUUAGGAGGCUACUAAGGUGCCAUGCCUCUCCUUACCUCUGAGGAGCCCUUCUAGCCUGGUGGGGCACCAUCCAGCAGCAAACAGGAUUCAGGGCACUUACAGGCUCUUGUCCUGCCUGAUGCAUGAAAGAUGGAAUCAGACAACCUCUUGAGCAAAAAGACUCCAAACAAUACAGUUUCAGGCAGCAGCUAAGGCCCUGUAGCUGGGGCCAUACUUCUCAUCUCCUCUUCAUUGGAAGGAAGGUACAUGCAGCAUCUGUCCUGCUGUGUUUUACAUUUGUAAUGCAGGGAACAAGGCAUAUUAAGAGCAAGGGAAUGGAAAUGCAAGCAGGAGAGGAUGAACCAAAACACUGCAGAUAUACCUGUUUUUCUCCAUUAACUCUAAGAAAACUCACUGGUGGCUCCAGACAUCAGAAAUCAUGUGAGGUGAAGCUGAAGGAGCAGCCUCGCUUGCUUUGGAGCUGCUGCUGCAGCCUGGUUCUUCAGCAGCUUCUUCACAGUGAGAAGGUAUCUUGAGUGCUGUGGGAUUUUACCUCACAGAUGAGCAGACAGUUGAUCUCCCAUGGAGAAAAGGGAAGAAAGAUGGAGAAUUCAGUGGUUUCAUCAAAUCAGAUUGAUAUCUGCCUCAGCUCUUGGGCUCCUCUGCAGAAAACCAUCACCUGAAAAUCUCACCUGGGGACUAUCUGAGCAAAACCUUGUUUGACAAGGAAUUUGAUAAGGAAAUUGAAAUAUUUCAGGGUCUCUGAAAGGCAGAAUGGGAAGUUUUGUAGCCUUCUGGCACAGAAGGCUACAAAAUGUUAGAAGUAUUUGAAAGCAAUAUAAAAUUCACCAAACUUCAGAGCAGCUGACAACACAAAAGCCUAAUGUUUCUGACCAGUCUCUGAUCAGACAGCCAGUAGAUGUUGGCUCCAAAAGCAAGAUUGACUCUAGGCAGCUUUGGGAAACCUGCCUUUCCUCUCUUGCCUCUCUGUCCCCCCAAACACACUGUGUCUCAUCUCUCUUGACUCUCUGUGUUCCCCAGGGCAGAGGUGCUCUCUUACCCAUCCUAAUACAGCCUCCAAAACUGCACUGAUUGCAGUUUCUUGCUACUACUUACUGAAAACAAGUCAGAGAAAACAGGGUGGGAAGAGACCUUGAGAGGUCACCAGGUCCAUCUGCCUGUUCCAGCAGCGUCAGAUAUGGAUCUAAUCUGGUCUGGACUUCUGCCACCUCCUGCUCUGGCAGCUUGAUGAAGGCUACACUAUUUCCCUCAAUAAACUGUUCCAUGGCUGCA
rnacentral:lncRNA from 1 species